rnacentral:rRNA from 1 species
GACGAACGCUGGCGGCGUGCUUAACACAUGCAAGUCGAGCGGUAAGGCCCUUUCGGGGGUACACGAGCGGCGAACGGGUGAGUAACACGUGGGUGACCUGCCCUCAGCUCUGGGAUAAGCCUGGGAAACCGGGUCUAAUACUGGAUAUGACUCCAUGACGCAUGUUGUGGGGUGGAAAGCCUUGUGCGGCUGAGGAUGGGCCCGCGGCCUAUCAGCUUGUUGGUGGGGGAUGGCCUACCAAGGCGACGACGGGUAGCCGGCCUGAGAGGGCGACCGGCCACACUGGGACUGAGACACGGCCCAGACUCCUACGGGAGGGCAGCAGUGGGGAAUCUUGCGCAAUGGGCGAAAGCCUGACGCAGCGACGCCGCGUGAGGGAUGACGGCC